rnacentral:pre_miRNA from 1 species
UUGACUUAGAUUUGUAUGGAGUUGGAAUGUUUGCCUACGUUUGCCGCUAGGGGCGCUGUUCCAACUGCAUACAAAUUUGGAGUU